rnacentral:rRNA from 1 species
GACGAACGCUGGCGGCGUGCUUAACACAUGCAAGUCGAACGGAAAGGCCCUGCUUUUGUGGGGUGCUCGAGUGGCGAACGGGUGAGUAACACGUGAGUAACCUGCCCUUGACUUUGGGAUAACUUCAGGAAACUGGGGCUAAUACCGGAUAGGAGCUCCUGCUGCAUGGUGGGGGUUGGAAAGUUUCGGCGGUUGGGGAUGGACUCGCGGCUUAUCAGCUUGUUGGUGGGGUAGUGGCUUACCAAGGCUUUGACGGGUAGCCGGCCUGAGAGGGUGACCGGCCACAUUGGGACUGAGAUACGGCCCAGACUCCUACGGGAGGCAGCAGUGGGGAAUAUUGCACAAUGGGCGGAAGCCUGAUGCAGCAACGCCGCGUGCGGGAGGACGGCCUUCGGGUUGUAAACCGCUUUCGCCUGUGACGAAGCGUGAGUGACGGGAAUGGGGAAGAAGCACCGGCUAACUACGUG